UUAGAGGGUCAAGCUUGAACUUAAAGUGAAGCAAACGUGGCGUUUGGUGAGUCGAUCAGUGGGUACUCAUUCCUUGAUUGCACAUCGAGAGUUCCCGGGCUUUCACUUGGGACAUUGACAUGUUGAUCAUGUUGGUUGAUUAUUUCGGUUAGGGAUUCUAAUAUAGCCAGUUUCUUAAUGCUUCAUUGAUAUAUUUGUAUGAGAUAUCUGACAUGCUGAUUAUGAGAUUGAUUAUCUUGAUCGAGGAUUUUGAUUUUUCUGUGCUUCAUUGCCAUGUUUGUUGAGUACAUUGACAUGCUGAUUAUAUUGAUUGAUCAUCUUGCCUUGCUUAGCAUAGUCAUUCUGAUUUUGCCAUGUUUGUUCUGAUUACCUCACAUGUAUAGACUCACCAUUGUAUAUCAUUUGAUUUGACAUGAUUGAUUUUCUCAGUUAUAUAUUAUCUUGUUUAUCAUAGAGCAUGCUAUCAUUUGUCAGAUAUUCUUCUU
rnacentral:lncRNA from 1 species